rnacentral:rRNA from 1 species
CAGUAGCCGCGGUAAUACGAAGGGUGCAAGCGUUACUCGGAAUUACUGGGCGUAAAGCGUGUGUAGGUGGUUGUUUAAGUCUGUCGUGAAAGCCCUGGGCUCAACCUGGGAAUUGCGAUGGAUACUGGGCGACUAGAGUGCGGUAGAGGAUAGUGGAAUUUCCGGUGUAGCAGUGAAAUGCGUAGAGAUCGGAGGGAACAUCUGUGGCGAAGGCGACUAUCUGGGCCAACACUGACACUGAGACACGAAAGCGUGGGGAGCAAACAGGAUUAGAUACCCCUGUAGUCCCUGUCUCUUAUAA